UGGGGAAUUUUGGACAAUGGGCGCAAGCCUGAUCCAGCCAUGCCGCGUGCAGGAUGAAGGCCUUCGGGUUGUAAACUGCUUUUGUACGGAACGAAAAGCCUCUUUCUAAUAAAGAGGGGUGAUGACGGUACCGUAAGAAUAAGCACCGGCUAACUACGUGCCAGCAGCCGCGGUAAUACGUAGGGUGCGAGCGUUAAUCGGAAUUACUGGGCGUAAAGCGUGCGCAGGCGGUCUUGCAAGACAGUGGUGAAAUCCCCGGGCUCAACCUGGGAACUGCCAUUGUGACUGCAAGGCUGGAGUACGGCAGAGGGGGAUGGAAUUCCGCGUGUAGCAGUGAAAUGCGUAGAUAUGCGGAGGAACACCGAUGGCGAAGGCAGUCCCCUGGGCCUGUACUGACGCUCAUGCACGAAAGCGUGGGGAGCAAACA
rnacentral:rRNA from 1 species